rnacentral:lncRNA from 1 species
GUGAAUCGUCAUUCACUUACCUUCAAAUGUUCUGCAAUUUGGGUUACGACAUCCCUCUCCCGAGUUGUAGAAUAUGGUGUUGGAUCCUAGCCUUAGUAUCUCAUUUGGGUGAUUUACUAAGGACUCAAUCAAUCAACUAACUUGAAUUCGUUUUCUCCCGUUUUGUAGAUGUCAAAGUUCGACAACUAUGGUCUUCCCAAAUCCCGUGGAACAAGCUUUCCACAUGAAGAUGAUAUUCCACGAUUCGAUUGAGGAACAAGAAAUCAUGCUUCACUUCCUCCACCUCCUCCAAUUAUUCUCCCUAACCCACAAGUUCAAAGGCUUGAAAAGUUCAAGAUCACUCAGGCCCUUUUGGCAAGUAAACAAAAGAAGGAAAGCCGGUGUGUGGACACGUCCUAGGGAUAAAGUCACACACUGAUAGGUUAAGAAUGUUGGGAUCCGUUGUCUGUGAGGAAAUGGCUGUUGAUUGGGUUCUUCAUUCACUUCCUAACUCAUAUAGUGAGUUUGUAAGAGAGUACUAUAUGACGAACCGCGACGUGACCCUUAUAGAUCUCACCUAUAUGCUUAUUGCUGCUGAAUCAGCAAUGGUUUGGCGCAAUAGAAAAGCAAAGUUGAUUGGUGAAUCUCCCUUCAAGACCUCUAUGGAUAUAGACAAUGGCAACGAAAGACAUGCUAUGAUCGAAAAGUUUGAUCAUAAGAGAAAGGCAAUGUCUGAAGUAGUUCCAUGUCAUGUUCCAAAAGAGUCAAUUUGCUUUUAUUGCCAAGAGAAAGGGCAUUGGAGACGAAGCUGCCCCAUUUACCUAAGAGAUCUAAGAGAUGGGAGAGUCGAAACGUAUGGCUCUAAUAUAGGUAAAAUCCAUUAACUAACUCUUUUAAGCUUCUAUUCUAGAUUCUUAAUACAUAAUGUGAUAAGAUUACAAUUGAUGUUUUGUAGGAUCGAAGAAAAGAAAGGAAGCUUAAGGGAAGAAGUGAGCAGAAUCUAACCGUGAAGGAAUGGAUUUCGAUCGCAUUUCUCGAAGAUUAGAUUCUUGAGCUACUACUUAGAGUUAGAAUUAGAUUGCUAAGAAAGAUGUAUUAGCAUAGUUUUUCAAUGAAUUGCAUUGUAAGGACAAAUUUUUCCGCAAUAAAAUAAAUUUUGAUUUUAUAUUAUUUAUUUAUCCUUGCAAUGGCGUGUAUGAAAAAUUGAUGUUUGAAUGUUUCUAUUAUUAGCAAUAAUGGAUUUGGUUCUUAUUAUGUUAUUUAUGGAAAGUCGAGAAUUUACCAAAUAGGGAGAGUUUCUCAUCGCCCAAGUUUCAAUUGGACAGAAACUUGGAAUCAUGCAACUUGGUUGCACGAUGAAUGAGAAAUUUCAUAUUUGGAAAUUAGACUAAUUCAUUGACAAAGUGUCAAGUGAAGGACUAGGAGAUCGAGUACACAAAGUUGCGUGUUGAUCAAGUCCACCAUAAGAGUAACAAAGAUAUUCGUCAUGAUUUACUAAAGGUUUAGUAAAUAUGAUUAUACUUAUAAGAUUAAGUGUAAUUCUGAAUUGAUUGAAAAGGUUUAAAUCAAUAGCAGAACGAAUAAGAAGAAUCAAGUAGGCAGAAAGAUAAAAGUUUCUCCAUUCUAAGAAGAAGGGAGAGUACCUUUUAUGCUUUAUGAUAGGUCUUAAUGAUUAAGAACCAUAUCUCAAUUGAUCCUCUAAGUGAGUCUUAGUACAAUUGUAUGUCUAAGAAGAGGAAUCAAGAAUUGAAGAAAUGGUUAAAUCAAGAAGUCAAUCAUACUUCGUUCAAAAACAAGUCUUAGAGUUAAGAUUGUGACAUUGAGUGACAAGUAUUAAAAAGGUUUAUAACAUUCAUCAAAUGUGGAAAGUUGUGAUGUCUUGGAUAAGACAAAGACCAACUAGGACCAAUUUAUGAAGUGUUUUGAUAAAAGCUACACUAACUCUUGAAUAUUUGUUUGUCAAGAAAUGGUUAUUGACAAGAGAAUCUUAUAUGUCAAGGAGUCAGUGGGAGUCUUAAUGGUCUUGAAAGGUUUCAAGAACAAAUCAAAUAAACCUUAUCGAUCAUCACUAGCACACGAGUUGAGGUUUACAACCUAUCGUGUUGACAUUAUUUUGAUUCUGUGCCAAUCCAAUCGAGUUAAUUAUGCAUGUGAGUUCUAUGAGUUCUCAUUUUGAACGCAUAAAAGGCAAAGCACCUUAAUCAAUGAAAGGUACAUUGAUAGGAAAAGGUGAGCUGCUUAACUACUUGGAAGACAUGGUGGGCAGCUGUGCUACCAUAAGGCAAGAAAUCAAGAUUAAGAAAGUUCGGUCCAUAUGAGUUUGAAUUUGUCGUAAACUUUGGUUUUAACAAAUUCACAUGGAUAGGAACACAUACACCGCUCAAAUCUAAGUGUCAUAAGAUUUCCUCCUUCAUGAAAAUGAUUGUGAAGAAAUGCUUUCACUAAGAGAGAUUUUAAGAAGAUAGUGAUUGUAAAAUUGCAUUCUCAAAUUCAAUUAUGGUUACGGCAUCCCUUUCCAUAAUUUGAAUUGUGAGGUUUGGCAAUUAGUCUUAAUUGUUUAGACACACAUAUGAACUAUCGAAGGCAAAGGUGUAUAAGUUCAAGAAGCAUUGAUAAAGGAUUAUCAAAGCACUAAGUAUUAGAAACAUGAACUUAAGAAAUUCAAUAAGUAUUGUUUUCUGAAAGUUAAGAUGUUUAUGAAUACAUGUCGAAGCUAGUGGGAGCAUAAGUGUUAUGUUUUAUAAUAAUCAUCAUGAUAGUGGGAGCAUAAAUGUUAUGAUUGUAUGAUUAUUAAGGAAAGUAUUGCAAGGUUAGCAAUAUUAAUUAUAGAAAACAAGAGUCAUACUUUGCAAAGUUGUAAGAGUUGAAAAGUUGUUUUGCUAUAAUUAAGGGAGAGAAUAUUAUGCUUCAUUUCAAAUCUAAAGGAUUAGGUUGAGAAAUGUUAAUAAAUUUAGUCAAAGGUACAUAGUGUGUUCUUAAAAUUUCGAUUAUGAUUACGGCAUCCCUCUUCACAAUUCGAAUUUUGAGAACAUAGCAAAUAAAACAUUAUGCGUCGUGUCCCAUACGCUUCGGGUAUAGGAUCGAUUGCAAAUGCUUUAAUGUUUGACCAUUCUAAAAUUUUCCAAAUGUCGAGCGCAUUUAGAGGGAAAAGGGACUAGAAUUGGUUUUGACUAAAAUAAUUAAACAACUAUCAAAGGACAAUCCAAAGUUCGACGAGGAUUGGUCGCUUGUGAGUAGUUGGAAGUAUAGUAUUGGAAAAUAUGGAAAUGUUUCCAUAUUGGAUGGACCAUAUCGACAUCAUUACGAAUAGAUAAGAUUCUAUUAAGAAUGAGUUGUCAUAUGGAACAUAUGGAAGUGUGUCCAUAUUGGGAAUUGAAUAUUGAGAAAUCUAUGACUAGAUUAGAAACUUCUAUGCAAAAGGAUGUUCAAAGAAUGUACUUUGAGUGAGAGACAUCACAUCUAUGGAAUUGUCUUGUAACAAUCUCCGAUAGAGGACUUUGUAAUAUCAUUGGCAAUAGUCUUUGUGACUUUGGUGCAGUGACAUUACGAAAGGAUAAGUUGCAUAGAAUGUUAGAAUCUAGCAUAUUCUAUAAGUAGCAAGAAUUUGAUAUUCUUUCACUUAUGAAAAGGAUUUGGAGUUGUGAAAUGAGAAUGAUUGGAAAUGUGUUCAAUGUGAUCUAUUUCACAAAGUAAGAACCAUAGGUAAACAUUGUGUGCAUGCUAGGAGCAUGGGACAAGUGUUGUAAUUCAAGUAAGAAGUUGAUUACCCGAAACGACAAAUAAUGAGUAAUCAAUAUGGUGAUAAAUAAAAGGUGUUUUAUUUAUACUCAAAGGUUUGAGGCCAUAUGGGAUUAGUAUUAUUCUUGUGUUUCACAUUUGCAUGUUUUGACUUCCAGAAUAAUUGAGUUUAUUAAGAAUAAUCGAAUUAUUCGAACGGGCCACAGUCGUUCAUAUGUUGGAAGUAGAUAUGAAUGAAGACUGUCGUGAAUUGGUGUGUGGAUUGUCUAAAAGAGUAUUAGACAUAAGCAAAUGUUUGCUGCAACGUUCAUGAGUGCUUAUGAAUAUGAUUUGAGCAUUGGAUUAAACCCACGCUCACUUGGAUCACUCCAUGAAUUGUAUCACGAGUGAUUGGUGAGACGAUAACAUCUUAUAUUCUUGAAACCGAGAUGUGUGAGUUGUAUCUUGCAAAUCGGUUGCACAUUGAUAAUAUGUAAACGCACUAGUAACUUGGUGUUAUAAAACAUAUUGUUGUGUGUGAUUCGGUGAGUGAGUGCAAGCAAGCAUUGUAUCAAAGUUUAUCCGUUCCUUUUAUCCAAAGUAGGAUAAAAGCGAUAUCUUUGGGCCCCUCGAUGAUUUAGUGAUGACAAACGUAAAUGCUCGGCCGGGCUAGGGCUAAUUUGAUUUGUUCAAUUAGUCAGUCGUCAUAAAUCGGGAAUCGAGAUAUAGUACAAAGAGAAUGAUUUGAAAUCAUAUCUCAUAUGAUAUCUAGAAUGGAGGAAUAUAUGAUCCCUUAUCUAAGGACACGCGUAUCUGAUAGGAUCAGAGUUGACAGCGGCUUUGGAAAGCUACGAUUGCAGAUCAGGAUCUGAAGUCAUACGCAGAAUAGUUAUUAGACUUAUCCAAGUGGGAGACUGUUGGAUUAGUGUCUAAGUCCAUAACUAUUUUGGUAUGUACUUGACCCGAUGGUGCAUGGUCCUUUUGGGUUGCCUUCACCAAAGCAACUUGAUUGGAGAAAUAAAUAGAGAGAGAGGUUAUUAUGAUUUAUUAAUAUGUUAUAAGAAUAAUAUAUUAAAGGAGAAAUCAUAUUUGUUUAAUUAAUAUUGGUCAAUAAUUAAUUAAGAAUUAAUUUUGUGAUCAAGUGUAAUUAAUUAAACUAGAGGGGCUGAAUUGUAAUUAUGUGAUAGUUACAAAAUAAGGUAAGGAUUAUCUUAAAUAUAGGGUGAACGAAUUUAAGGAGAUAAUGCCUUAGAAUUCGACUAGGAUAAGGGUUUCUAAGACUUAUCUUAUGGUUGCUUGGUGGGCAAGCAACUAGAUAAGGAUAAGGACUAAAACCCUAAUCUUUACACCUAUAUAAACCCCCUAAGGCUCAUGAAUUCGUCUAAGCCUUCCCAAGAAGUCCUAAGGACGAAUUCCUACAUCUCUCCUCUCUCUUUAUACCUUCUCCAUUUGCUCUUGGUGUUUGUAAGCCAUUAGAGGAGUGACACUUGUGACUCUAAGCCUUCCAAAGUCAAUUCAAGGAGGAAUUGGGAUUGUUAUUGCUACAUAACAAUCAAGGUAAUAUCUUAAACCUAAUUAUAUGUUAAUAUUGAUUUCCAUAUGCUAGAAUUAGGGUUUAUAGUCUUGGAUUCAAAGCAUGUACAAUAGAGAAACCUAGAUCCAAGCAUUAGGGUUUGUAUGAGCACAUAGGAUGUCUUAUGACCAAAACCCAUCAGUGGUAUCAGAGCCUAGAUUGGUUUCAAUUGUAUUGAUGCAUUGUAUAUCUGAAAAAUUCGAUUUUUGGGGUUCUGGAGGCUGGACUCGCCGAGUCCAUAGCUGAACUCGCCGAGUCCAUGCAGACUCGACGAGUCCAAGCCUGACUCGACGAGUCAACUCGUCAGAUGGGGAUAUCUUCGGGAUUUCUUGCUGUUUUUGCUUAUGGAUAGUUACCUUAUCAUAUUAGAUCAAUAUAAAUCCGAUUUUAUGAUAUAUUUGACUAUAUUCUUGAUCUAAUUGAAGAUAUUUAUCAAUUAAUAAAAUAUUUGUUUCCUUAUGUGAUAAUUGAUUAAUUAUUUUGAUUAAAUUGAUAAAUUGUUUUGCAAGAAAUCAUUAAAUAAAUCAAAUAUGGAUAAUUAUGUGAUUAAAUGUUAAUUUAGAUUAUUUGUUAUUUGAUCCUUGUUGUUAUGAAAAGUUUCAUAUUUUCCCCUUUAGGUUUUAUAGUUUAAAUUUGAACCCAAAAGUUUUGUUGUUUUGAAAUUUAAAUAGUUGAAACCCUAAUGUUUUGAAAAAGGUUUCAAAACUUGCCCUCAAGUUUUGGAAUUUAAAUUUUGAUUAAAUGGUUUAAUUUUGAUGUAUAUUUAAAUUCUAAACCCUAAUGUGUUGAAAUGUUUCAAAACUUGCCCUCAAGUUUUGGAAUUUAAAAGUUGAUUAAAAGUUUAAUUAGGAAUGUUAAAUUCUAAAACUCUAGUAUUGUUUUGAAAAAGUUCAAAUCACACCCUUAUGGUUUUAUUAAUUAAUUAAGGUGUAUAAUUAAAAGAGGUUUAAUAAAUCCAUAAAAGUUUUGGUUUACAAUUUAAUUGAAUUAAAAGUAUAAUUGUUAAAUUUGACCACCUAGUAUUUUAAAAGUGUAAAAUACACCCUAUACUAUAUAUAACAUUAAAAGUCUAACAUUAUAUAUAUGUAUGAGUAAAAGUCAGUCUUACCGUUAGUAGGCCUCAUUCACGAAGCUGGUCUAUAAGGGGUGUUUAAGGAAAUUGCCUAUAAAAUGGCGAUUGAAUGGGUAUCCACUCUUACCCACCGCACUCUUGACUAGUGGAGGGUCGUUAGCCGAACGGGUAGGAUAGGACGAAACCUUCCAUUAUAAGUAUAAUGAAUUAUUAAAGUAACUAAAUGUUUUCAUAAAAUUCCCAAUCUUAGUUACUUAGGCAAAAGUGAAUUGAUGCAAUUCCAUGAAAUUACACUUUGUGCCCUUGCGAAGACGUUAGUGGAGCGUGUGUGGUUUACCGGCACACUAAAUGGUUCUAAGCAAAGGUAGCAAAGGGUGACUCAAUGUUUGUCAUAGUUCGGUGGAGCGUGUGUGGUUUACCGGCACAUCGAAUAGGUGACUGUAACAUGUGAGGGCACCAUGUAAGUUUGCAUGGUUAUUCACACCCGCUUUGUGAUCCUCGGCAUCCCAGUCACAAACAAGAGGGGCAUAUCGAGAUUUAAACAUGCCAUUGAAAUGUUCAAUGAAUCUCAAAGGAUCUAGGAGUUUUCAUAGAUUUAAAACUUAAAUUUCUUUUUCGUUUUUCAUGGUGGAAAUUAGUGAAUCGUCAUUCACUUACCUUCAAAUGUUCUGCAAUUUGGGUUACGGCAUCCCUCUCCCGAGUUGUAGAAUAUUGUGUUGGGUCCUAGCCUUAGUAUCUCAUUUGGGUGAUUUACUAAGGACUCAAUCAAUCAACUAACUUGAAUUCGUUUUCUCCCGUUUUGUAGAUGUCAAAGUUCGACAACUAUGGUCUUCCCAAAUCCCGUGGAACAAGCAUUCCACAUGAAGAUGAUAUUCCACGAUUCGAUCGAGGAACAAGAAAUCAUGCUUCACUUCCUCCACCUCCUCCAAUUAUUCUCCCUAACCCACAAGUUCAAAGGCUUGAAAAGUUCAAGAUCACUCAAGCCCUUUUGGCAAGUAAACAUAAAGAAGGAAAGUCGGUGUGUGC